rnacentral:rRNA from 1 species
GGCCGCGGGAAUUCGAUUCAGGCCUAACACAUGCAAGUCGAGCGAGGGGAGAGGCUUCGGCCUUGAACCUAGCGGCGGACGGGUGAGUAACGCGUGAGGAACCUGUCCCAAACAGGGGGAUACCAGAUGGAAACAUCUGCUAAUACCGCAUAAGACCACAGAGCCACAUGGUUCAGGGGUCAAAGGAGCAAUCCGGUUUGGGGUGGCCUCGCGUCCGAUUAGCUAGUUGGUGAGGUAACGGCCCACCAAGGCGACGAUCGGUAGCCGACCUGAGAGGGUGAUCGGCCACAUUGGAACUGAGACACGGUCCAAACUCCUACGGGAGGCAGCAGUGGGGAAUAUUGGGCAAAGGGCGAAAGCCUGACCCAGCAACGCCGCGUGAGGGAAGAAGGUUUUCGGAUGUAAACCUCUGUCCUAAGUGACGAACAAA